rnacentral:RNase_P_RNA from 1 species
AAAGCUCCUGAGUGAUCGCAUCCAUUGGUUUUAAACCCAGAGGAUGAGGAAAGUCCGAGCAACAUUGCCAGGAAGGUCGCUAACGGCGACCGUAGCCCGAUCUAAAAAACGGGCUAUAGGGAAAGUGCCGCAGAGACGACUAAUGUGAAACGCCCCCUCUGCAUAUGGGGCGCCCCAUCGUGAGGUGGAUGGCGUGGUAAACCCCUUCUGUUGCAAGGUGAGGAUGGAGAUUGGGAAUUAGAGCCGGCAUGCUCCCCUUUCGCUCACCGCUGGAGCCACGCAGCAAUGCGCGGCCAAGAGAGAUGAUCACCUAGACAGAACUCGGCUUAUGAGGGAGCUUUUUUA